UACGAGCGGCCCGAACGUUAUUCGGAAUUACUGGGCUUAAAGAGUUCGUAGGCGGCGCAGAAAGUAGGGUGUGAAAGCCCUCGGCUUAACCGAGGAAUUGCGCUCUAAACUACUGUGCUUGAGGAAUCUAGAGGUGAGCGGAACUGAUGGUGGAGCGGUGAAAUGCGCAGAUAUCAGGAGGAACACCAAUUGCGAAGGCAGCUCGCUGGGACGUUACUGACGCUGAGACGCGAAAGCGUGGGGAGCAAACAGG
rnacentral:rRNA from 1 species